rnacentral:tRNA from 1 species
UCCUGGUAGCUCAGUUGGUAAAGAAUCUGCCUGCAGUGCAGGAGACCCAGGUUCGAUCCCUGGGUUGGGAA